rnacentral:rRNA from 1 species
AUACGGAGGGUGCAAGCGUUGUUCGGAAUCACUGGGCGUAAAGGGCGCGCAGGCGGUUUGGUAAGCCAGAUGUGAAAGCCCACGGCUCAACCGUGGAAGUGCAUUUGAAACUGCCAGACUUGAGUACCAGAGGGGAAAGUGGAAUUCCCGGUGUAGAGGUGAAAUUCGUAGAUAUCGGGAGGAAUACCGGUGGCGAAGGCAACUUUCUGGCUGGAUACUGACGCUGAGGCGCGAAAGCGUGGGGAGCAAACAGGAUUAGAAACCCUAGUAGUCC